rnacentral:misc_RNA from 1 species
AGUCUUCAAAUCCCCCUCGCCGCUCUUCGUCUUUCCGCUGCCACCGCAUUUCUCUUCCACACAUUCGUCCGAGCCGUCUGCACGUUGAGCGUGCCCGUGCCCCUUGCGACUGCGGCUUCGUUGGUGCAUAGUUGUCGCUUCCAGUGCCUCUCUUCUGUUGACACACACGCACGCACGCACACACGCAAACACACGAGUCUGUCAACCGCGCAGAGUGCUUUGCGGCUUGCGAGAGAUUUCUCUUGUGCUUCUGUCUGUCUGUUCCUGUACCCCUGCCUCCGAUCACGGCACCCCUUUCGCUUGCAUUGUGCCUGUGCCACUCUCUCUAAGUGCCCUGGUCAGGCUCGCCGCGGGUGACGCUGUCCUCGAGUGAGUCUCUGUUGCUCGCUAUCUUUGCUGCGCUUCCCUCGCCUUCUUCGACCUCCACCUCUGACGCAGAACGCGGCUUGUCAGCUGAGGCGUUCGUUACGUGCGUGCGUGCGCGUGUUUGGAUCUCGCUUCGGCGGGCCUCUCUCUCUUCCCGAUUGUGCGCACAUCACCGUUGCUGUGCGUAUAUGGGUCGUUAACCAACACAGUCCUCUAAGUCUUACCCACCUCUCUUUCCGCCGCACUGACACAUUCUUACACAGACACGGAACACGAGGCCAGCCCUUUUCGUCGCCGCGUCCCUCUGGUAAUAUAAGAGGGUGAAGUGCAUGCGCACGAAGGGCAGCCGCGAGCUGGAAAAGUGACACAAACGAACGACUAACAAGGAAAAAAAGCCCGGUUUGUCUCGCGCGGGUUUCUCUGCUCCCGCCUGUUCUCUGGCUUUCCGUGGCCCAGCGUUUCCGCUUAAGGAAGUAGGCCGUAUCACAUUUGCAUGCGUGCCUACCCAACGCUUGGCCCAUCUAACGAGCAGUUGUGGUUUUUUUGUCAUGUUUUUGAGUAUCCUUAAAUUUGCGUUCUUUCUGCCGUAGCAAAGGUCACCCGCUUAUUUUUUUUGUUUUUGUUGUUCGUGGCUGUUGCCUCCUUUUUGCAUACAUACGUGUCUCGUCACGUUUUCUCCCGCGCCCUCUGGAACCUCUGUGUUAACGUCUUAUCGUUCGGCGUAUCGGUCGAGAGGAAAGCCCGUCAAGUUACUUUUUUCCUUGUCGUCUGUUCGCCCCCCCCCCCACGCCUUCCAACCGUUUCUCCCGUGCUCUCUCUCUCUCUUCAUCUCAUCGUCGUGGCGAUUGGAAGGUUGUGCGACAGUUCUGUCUCGUAUGUGCAUGGCUACGCCUUCAGCGCACUGAUCGCCAUUUUAUUUCCUUUUUUUUAUAGUUGUUUGUUUGCCGCGCAUUACACCAGGCUACGCUCUUCUCAGUCUCCCUCGUUCUCACUCUGCAUUUCAACUCUACAGCGUGUCUGACGACUCGGCAAAUCAAUCAUGCUCUCUGUGGAGCAGGCAGAGCAGAUCGCGGCCGCGAUCGAGGUACCUGACUGGGUCUUGACAAAGUCUGCGGCACUCGUGUAUAGCUGCUUCGGCACCGCCGCCGAUGCUUUUGAAAGCAGUAUCAAGAUCAACUUCCCGGCGCAGCAUGCGUUCGUGGAGGCGUGGAUGCGUGCGCGCUCCCACCCUUUUGCGGUGCGCCUGCCGUACCUGAAUCCGUGGCACGGGAUCGCCUCGAUCCUGGCCUACCUGUCCUUGAUUGUCACCUUGCGCAUGCUGUAUCGCGUACUCGGUAAGUUCUCGUGUCGCACCCUCGGGUUGGUGCACAACCUCGGUCUCCAUCUUCUCUCCUUGUACAUGAGCCUUGGUCUCAUGAUCAGCGCGCGCGCCGCGGGGUACUCGCUCUGGAACAACGCGGCCGGCACCUCCCCGGCCGAGUGGCGCAUUGCGAAGCUGAUCUGGCUCUUCUAUGUCUCGAAGGUGGUGGAAUGGUUGGACACGGUAAUUAUGCUGUUAAAGCAGAACUACCGCCAGGUUACCUUCCUGCACGUGUAUCACCACACGACGGUUUUUGUGCUGUGGUGGUUGGCGUCGCUGGUCGCUCCUGGCGGCGAGUCGUACUACAGCGCCAUGGUGAACUCUGGCGUCCACGUUUUCAUGUACGGGUACUACUUUCUCACGCUGCUCUUCCCAUCGGGCAUCGUGCGCGACGUCUUGAGCAAGUUCAAGUUUGUCAUUACGAAGGGCCAGAUGUGGCAGUUCGUCUUCAACUGCCUACAGUCCACGUACGACCUCGUGUGGGUGCCGCGGGAAGAGCUCAAGUACAGUGCGGUGCUGCUGCAGAUCCUCUUCUGGUACAUGAUCUCCCUCCUGGCGCUCUUUGGCAACUUCUUGGUGAAGAACAAGAACUUCUCGCACCGCCGCCGCGUUGAUGCCGCGACUGGUUCGGGCGCGAAGGAGGACACGGCGGGGAGGUCCUACGGCGACCGCACUCACGGAACCCGUGUGAAGGUUGGGAUUACCAACAUGCAACUGGAGACGCUAAAGAAUGAAAAGGUCGCGGAGCUGAAGCGGCUGAUGCACAAGAAUGGCAACGGCAACGGACAAAAAGCCUCGCUCGAGGCCACGGCAGGCAGCCGAUGAUGGACAACUCGAACCCCGCAGUCCUGGAAGACAGUGUUUCCUGCGAGAAAGGACACUGCAGUGGGUGGGAUGAUUUCGUCGGCACUAGAUUUCCACUUUUGGCUGCUUCGCCACGGUGCUGCACCGUGCGCGCCAAAUAGAGCGCAUUAUGAUCUCCGUGUGUUGUGUGUGCUUUUGUGUGUCCCAGUGACAGCGAGUACGCUUUUUGUUGUUUUGUUGCAGCACUAUAUAUCGGCGAGGGCGUGUGUGCGUCUCUCGCCCUUGGGCUACGCAGAACGAAUCAAUGUGUCUGUGUGCGGGUAAGCUUUCCGUUUUCCUUUUCUUCACAUUCACACAGGCGGGAACUCGCACAUAGUCGAGCGGUUAGUGGCAGUACGGAUGCGCCUUGUGCCCCUGAUGCACCGAUGGAAAUUGCUGCAGUGCUUUUUGUGUUUUGUGGUGCCUUUCUUGAUUGAUGAAUCUUCGUGUAUCUUCUGGUUUGUGUGUGUGUGUGUGUGUGUGUGCCUGUGCUUCGAUUCAUGUUGAGGUUCGUUGUUGUUGUUCUCUUUCUUCUUUGUAUGGAGGGCGGGGGCGGGGAAGACGUGUCAUGAGACGCCAGAGAUGCCUCCCCUCUCCUGUGUCCUGUAUACAUGUGUUUCGUAUUUUGCUCUUCCUUUCCACAUGCAUUGCGAGUGGUGCAUUGAUUUCGAGCGAUGAGGAGGGAGUCGGGUGGGGUGAGAGGGGUGGGGAAGGGGCUACGCGAGUUUCUCCCUUGUGUUUAUGUCGCAUCUCUCUUUCCGUGGGUGUGUUUACACCUGGCUUCCUCAUUGCACAUCUGCUUGCCACCCAUCGACCCGAUCUCUGGAGUAUCUUCGCUUCCUUUUUUUUCUUUGUCUCGGUGCUCUCUCUCUCUAACGGCACGAUGCGCUCAAAUGGUAGAUGUUGGUGGAGGACAGGGUUGUGCACUGUGAUGAAUUUUGGCAGAUGCCACGACCACCGUAUGUCGUCGUCGGCCACGUGGGCUCGCGGCCCUUCUUCCUUCUUUCAGAGAGCGUGCCAUCUGUACACGAAGGUUGAGGAAACGAAGAGCUCUUCGUCCUCUGUUCUUGCCUUUCUGUGGUGUGCGCCAGUGAGGAAGAAUUCACCGCCUUUGUGGUGUCGCGAUGACGCCUUUUAGCAGGAAUUCAUGUGUGUUCGUCGCUCGUGUGUAUGUGCAUCGAGCACAGCCGCUAAACCUUGUCUGUUCCUUUCUCGUUCUGCGUCAACUUCUUGUGUUCUUUCCUCCCACGCUUUUCAGUUACUCUAGCCGAUGCGCCGACCUGUGUGCUACUCUUCAUGCGCACGUGUCUUGCCCACGGCCAUGUAUGCCGGCUUACUAAACG